UACAACAAUCCAAAGGUAGGAAAUCUUCCCAAAAUCUGCUUCUGUUGUUCACUAUGGUAAAAAUAUUUUCCAAGUGAGUCUUAUCUCCAAUUUCAAUCAAAGAAGAGACAUUUUUGGCAUCCCUUGUUCUUGGAAAUCAGAGCAAAAUAAGCUGAGAUUUACAUUACCAAAAAUUUCAAUAUUUAAAGUUUAAAUAUCAGAGCAGUGUGGUGUUGAACUUCUACCUUCUUACCUGCGACUCUGACAGUACACAUUUAUUUUUUAGGAGGAAUCAAGCUUCUGUAACUUUUAUGGCACUUAUUCUUCACACUGAUAAAGACAUGAGUUAUUGGAAAUAUUUUAGGAGGCACUUGAGAGAUGAAUCAAAAUGCUCUUUUCAAUUCCUUCAAGCAUUCUUUGGAAGAUGACAGGUAGUCCCUUCUCAACUUUUCUAAACUAUUUUUUUUUACUGCACUUCUGCUCAGAUGGCGGAGAGAGUUCACUAUCCCUGGAGGAGCAAAGACAGGCACCUCACAGAGAGUCCUGACAUGAUUUUUAAGGCUAUACUACAGACUGGAAGUGGAAGACACUACCUCCUUCUCACAGUUAAGAGAUCAGCAGGCCAGCAUUCAAGGAGGUUUUUUCUCAAAGGCCCAUGAACUGAACUCAAGCAAAUAGGCUCCUGAAGCACAGUGUCCCAUUUCUCUUGUUCCACAAGGUUUGGGAAAGAUGAGAUAGGAUUUCAUCUGACUCAGAACAUUUAUUUCUAUUACAAGAUUACUACAUUGUCUCCAUUUCAUGAUUUAUGUCUUAUUCAUGGCUUCUAUUUGUGUUAUAUUUUGAGAUGGUUGAAAACUUAAAUUUGUAUUUAUAUCAUUUUAAUGGUUAAUUGAGUAUGUUUUGCCUGAUCUUUGUAUAUUUGUGGCAUUGAAUGUUUGUCAGAAUCAAAAACUGCACUGAGUCCCCUUGGGGUGAGAUGGAGCAGGGGAGAAAUAAAAUAAACAAAUAAAUAAAUAAACUUGUAGAAUACCUCUUUUGAAAAUGUAAUUGUAUUGAUGUGAUAUAAUAUUUUCUUAAGUGUGGUGGGUUCUCUGAUAAAUAAAGGGUCUCCACAAUGAAUGGAAUCUCUAUUCCUCUGAUAUGAAUUGCCCUACAUCACAAAUUUUGGGCUUCAAUUGCCGCCAUUUUCAAAUAAUAUAUCAAAUUGUGAUUAUGAGAGUCAGAGCCUAAAACAUCUGAAGGGUCAACAUGUGUCAUCCUUAUCUUAUGUAAUCAGUGUUUUAUUUAUUUAUUUAUUUAUUAUUUAUUUAUUACAAUAUUUAUAUUCCGCCCUUCUCACCCAACAGGGGACUCAGGGCGGCUUACAAUAAAACACAUAUAUAAAAUUGUACAAUACACUAUAAAAUAGUUAAAAAUUAUUAACUUACAUCAGAUAUUCAUAAAACACAUUCUAAAAUACAGAUGGGCGUGUUCAAGUUUAAUACAAUUUUCACUUAUUUUGUAUUAUUUAAAAUUGUAGGAGCCCCCGUGGCCUAGUGAACUAAAGCCUCGUGACUUGAAGGUUGGGUUGCUGACCUGAAGGCUGCCAGGUUCAAAUCCCACCCGGGGAGAGCGCGGAUGAGCUCCCUCUAUCAGCUCCAGCUCCAUGCGGGGACACGAGAGAAGCCUCCCACAAGGAUGGUAAAAACAUCAAAACAUCCGGGCGUCCCCUAGGCAAUGUCCUUGCAGAUGGCCAAUUCUCUCACACCAGAAGCAACUCAGGUUGCUCCUGACACGAAUUUUUUUUUAAAAUGUGACUACUUAGUAUUGAUUAAGCGCACAUCUAGAUGUAUGCAUAUUUACAACCACAUACAGAUGCAUAUACACAUGCACAGUCAUAUAUAAUGACUUUCAGAUGGUGGUCUGAUCUGACUGUGAAAUUAAAAAAAAAACUACUAGAAGUUACUCUUUUCACCAGUGGUAUUUGAGAUUACAUUACAAGUAAAUUUGUCUCAUCAUCUUUUUAUUUCCUACAGAUAACUGGUCACGAAGGUUGUGGACAUUUUAUUCUGCUCCUAGACAGGUUAAGUGGGAUGUUUUGGUCAAAGGGAUGGUCUUUCUGUUUCUCACAGCUUCAUAGCUAUAUGAAAGGCUCACAUUGCUUUUUGGAUUGUGGAUGUACUAUUUCAAAUCUGCCUCCUCCUUUUCCGCCACAUUUUGUGCCUCCUUUCCCCCAUCCUUUUUCUUCACCUUUAACCUCCUCCUGCUCAUCUCCUUCUCUUUCUCCUCCUUCUCUCAUCACACAUUUUAAAACAUUUUAUCAGCAAUGAGCAUAAUUUUUUUUAAAUGUACACUUCAUUAACUAAAUCUUGUUCUCUAUUUUUAAUGCCUUUUAAUUAUCAGUCAAGACGCAUUUUAUUUCUUUGUCUUAUAAUUAAAUCUGAAGAAUCCAACUUUUAAAAAUGAUCCUUGUACUCCAAAGAUUCAUGUUAUUUUCUUCUUGUGUAGAGGCACUAUGAAAGAGUGGUCCACUAAUACUCUACUUUGGUAAGGAAACCCUAUUGUGUUUGGCAUUUUCAGCAUUACUUUUUAGCUAAUCUCCACAUGAAUUUAAUAUAUACUGUGAUAUGCUCAAUGUAUUCCUAACAAAGAGAGCCAAAAUGUGCUACUCUUGUUAAGAAGGCAGUGUAGAAAAUUCAUGCAAUUUACUUUUGCUAUAGUAUCUCAUUAAGAAGACUGUAAAGCUGAUGUGAGUUUUAUGAUCUGAAGUGGUGCAGGGAUAAUAAAAUAUUAUUUCAUAGAUAGAACACAAUAAAAAUGCAUUUCAUUGAUGGAACACCCCAGUACUCCUUUUAAUAAGCAAAAGGUAUAUGGUGUUAACAUAAAAUCUUUUCUGUGAUCAAAGUAUUGGCAAGGGGCUGUAUCAGCUGGACCAAAUCUCUUACAUUUCUCUGUACCGUAUUCAGCAUUUAGGGCUAAUUAUCUCUGAACCCCAUUGUAAUCUAUUGCUCAUAGGCCUGGAAAGAAAAUCAUUCACAUUCCACGACAGCUGUUACUUGACAAUGGUUGAUGUGUCUCCAGUGGGCUCGCUGUUCAGAAUAGUUCUGUGUCACCAAGGAGAAUGACCUCAGCCCAGUGUGACAGAAAUCUCACUGUGAGUUUUUGAGAGCCAUGGAAACUAACAGGCAGCAUAGUUUCAGGUAACCAAAGGUGACCUGAGCCAUGUGAGUCAGUGGCAGAGUUCCCAAAUGUCCAGGACUACCCUUGACAUGACAGGAAUCAACUUGUUUAUCAUCUGUCUUGUUGCACAGAUAAGAGAUAUGUGUAUUGUCUUUUACAAAGUAAAAAAAAAUGUGCUGUCAAAAACAGGGAGAUACCAACAAGUAUGAUUUCUUUGUUGGUAUCUUAAAUAAUUGACUUACAAUUAAUCAAUUCAGUAGAGUCCCAAAAUUACAGAAGAAAUAUUUGGAAUUUACAACUUAAGCUGUGAUGCAAGUUAGUGGCCAGACUUGACUAUACAGCCCAGGUGAUUAUGAUGAUCAGGAGAUGGUCACUGUCCUUGUGAUAUGGACAGGGCUAGACAUGUUACAAGUUCCAUGGUCUUUCCUCAGGAUCCUCAAGCAAGCCAACUUGAAGUUGUGGAGUAUUAGACUAUAGUUUGGGCAGGGUACUAGACCAAUGUACAAAAAUAAAACCUUUAUUUGGCUCCUCCGUCUAAUGUAUUUCUUCUUUUUCCUCUUUCAUUCAGAUACUAGAAAGCUGCUACUGUUUUUCAAAAACACAUUUUCAUCCUUGUGUAAUGGUCAACUACAUUUUAUUCCAUUUUCAGAUCUGUUUGCACAAGACACUAUGUGUCUCACAACCUCUGAGGAUGCCUGCCAUAGAUGUGGGCAAAAGGUCAGGAGAGAAUACUUCUAGAACAUGGCCAUACAGCCCGGAAAACAUACAACAACCGUGUGAUCACAGUCAUGAAAGCCUUCGACAACACACUAUGUAUUUGCUUUCACAACUCAUGAUCACCUUGUUAGACUUAUGUUAUUCUAUUGAGGAUUAAAGAGCUUCUAGCAGAGCAUGUAGCUUUGGUGGAAGAGCUCCACAUCUUGCAUGAGUAACUGUCUUGGUCAAGACAUUUUUAAUUCAUUGGCUUUGGUCUGAGAAGUUGUUGGAAGUGUUUAAAUAAAUGCUUUGUUUAACAGGGAUUUAAUAUCAUUCUGGAAAAUAGUGGAUAUAGAUCAGAUGACAAUGAGAAAUACUGAUGUUUUGAUCUGUACAUCAUGACUUUAAAAUAACUGAAGCAACAACAGAAAUGAAAAAUAAUGACCAGUAUUCUAAAUCAGAUCAAGCCUGCUUAAAUAUCUAAAAACACUAGAUCCCAUCUGAUUUUGGGAACUAAGCAGGAUCAGCACUGUUUUUACUUGGGCAAGAAACACCAAUGAAGACCAGAAGCUCCAGAUUAUAUACAUUUCAGAGGAAAAGACUGGCAAAACCACCUUUAAGUAUUCCUAUGAAUUUCACAAGGGUGCCUUAAGUAGAGAGAUGACUUGAAGUUAUUUUUUUAGAUUGGAUUGUUUUAGAUCGAAUUGUGAAUUGCUUUGAAAAGUUGGAAAUACUGUGGAAGCUUGACUUAAAAGCAUUCCAACUAAAGAGUGUUUUGAGUUAAAAGCUAUCACUCAGUUUGGGUUUCACUUUGACAUAUGAGCAGCAUUUUGAGUUAAGAACUUGUGCCAGAGGGAGCGCUAGUGCCAGUACUAGCAUGAAAGUACAGGACUUUAGGGCUUCAAGGAAGGUGCCUCUGUACCUUGUGCCUCCGUACCUCCGGACCUUGUGCUCUUGUCUGCUUUGGGAAAUUGCUGUCUGCUUUGCCCUUUUCCACUUUGAGGAACUUGGGGUUAGUUGAUUUUGUGUGAUUUUUAUUCCUGGUAUGUUUAGCUUCAUGAAGAGAGGGAGAGAAAGCAAGAGAGGGAGGGAAACUGAGCAUAGUAUGAAGAAAAUUAUGUUUCUGCCUCUUCACUUUGAGCUUUCUUGCCACAACAUUGUGAUUCUACCAUUUUAAAGUUGAUCUUUAUUUUUUAUUGUUCAUGUGAAUGUGCAUUUAUACAUUAUUUGUUAUUUAUAAAGUAGAUUUUCUUAUUUAAAAAUAUAUAACAAAAAUGGGGGUGGAGGUUGGGAGGCCGGGACGAAUUAAUGGCAUUUCAAUGGGAAAAUUCACUUUGAUAUAAGAGCAAUUGGAGUUAAGAGCUCGGUCACAGAAGGAAUUACAAUCUUAACUCAAGAUAUUGCUGUAUAUGGUCAGAUCAGAAAUUAUAGGUAUUGGGCAGUCAUGAUCAACAGAGAUUUGUGAGGGUGGGAGGCUGCUUCAAGCUGAUGGAAAUUCCCCAUUCUUGACUCAUGGAGGGUAGUGAAAUGCUGACUGGAGGACAAUGGCAUAAGAGAGGGAAAGGAGAGGAAAGUACUAAAAUUGGCACAUGCUGUAUUCAUUCCUUAUGUGAAUCCCAAGAAAGGUGGGAGUCAUUUUCAGUAGAUUCGUGUCCUCUUUUUCUCUCUUGUCAUAGUUGUUCAGUCCUAAUCUGCUGCUAAUAACAAUAACAGAUUGAGAUUGGUUCAGAAUCUGCUGCAGAAUGCAAUAACCAAAGGGCUGAGUGGAGUGGCCAGUCACACAGAUAUUAUGACUAUGAUGAAAAACUGCACAGUUUUUGAUGUUAGCAUACAGUCUCUAAACAAUUCAGAUCAGGUUAUAUGAAGAUAUCUUUCUUUGCUACCUUAAGAGGAGGUCUAACUGGGUGGAUCUGGCAAUAAUUCUCCAUGUCUUUGCUAUAUUAGCCUUUGCUAAUUCUUUGGGAGCCACCAACACUGUUGUGCUUCUAAAGGUGAUUAAAAAUACCAUUGCCAAGGCAUACUCUGGCAUUUAAGUUGAUUCUUCUGUGGAUAGAGAAAGGGAGAGAAAGAAAGGGAAUGAGGGAGGGAGAGGGAAAAGAUUGCAGACAUAUCAUUAAUCACUUUAUGCAUUUAUAUAGAUAUAAUUUAUCCUUUUCUUGUCAUAUUUUCUUUUCGUCCAUGUUUAUGUGAUUUAAUAGUUAAUUUUUAUAGUAACAAUUAAAAUAGUAAAAUAAAUGAAUAAUAUACAAUGAAUUUUGGGAGGUUUAACAAAAACAAUGUUAAGGCCUGGAAAUCACUAUGGAUGUCCACAAAUAACACAAACCAACUGCAUUGAUUUUCAGCAAAACUGUAAUUGUAACACACAGCAGGAGUUGCAUUCAAGCAUGUUAUUGCAUCAAAUUAAUAUGAACUCCAGACCCGAGAGUCUCUUUUUGUACCAGGAUUUGAACAUCAUUUUUUUAAAAAUGAAGAGGGUACUGCUAAGAAGAAAAGGACAGGGCUGGCUAAGUUAAAUCCAGGGGCAUAGGAUGAUUGUGCCAUUUUUUAAAAAUCUAGAAUGUGACUGUACUGAAUAUUUUUUGUCUCACGUGCCUGUAUACUAUUAUGUCUCUAACACAGAGUUUUCUUGGCAAGAUUUGUUCAAAGAAGGGUAUGUCUCUGCUUCUUUCAGAGACUAACAAAAUAUUACUUGCCUAUGUUCCCUGAGUGGGUUUUCAUAUCUUAAAUACAUGGUGGGACCCACAUGUAAAUCCAGUAGAAGAAGAAACACUAUCAUGCAGAACUUUUCUUCUAUUGAGGAUUGCAGUCUCUUGGUGUUUUUGUCCACACUUGCAUGGUAGUGGUUGAUGAAACCACAACUAUCUAUGGGCAAAGCCAGAGCCAGACCUUGACCAUGCCAUUCCCUUUCUCCUUUUACUUCUUCCUAUUUCUACAAACCCCUUUCCUAACUUCAUCUCUUCUUUCCCAUCCAGCAGCUAGUGUCAGAAAGAAUAAAUUAUUCCUGCAGUAGACUUUCUCCUAGUCUUGAUUAUGCCCAUUGGGCUUUACCCACUUUCUUCUCCCACCACUGUCACUAUUUCCCCUCCCUCCUCCUUUCUCUCUAAGUUUUUCCCAUCCAUGUAGAAUUAAAAUAGAGGUUGCAUGCAGGUCUUAGGUGCAGCUCUGAGGUAGUUCUAAGACAUUUUACUACCAAGGAGAAGAGAUGGUUCCAACAUGGUUCCUUCCUGGUGGCUCAAAUACUAGUGAAGGAGUGAAUCUGUUCUGAGUCUUUGGGUGCAUUUACACUGUAGGAUUCAUGCAGUUUGACACCACUUUAAAUGCUAUUGCUCAAUGCUAUGGAAUCUUAGCAGUUGUAGUUUGGUAAGGAACCUGUGCUCUUUGGAAGAGAAAGCAAAAGAUCUUCUGAAACUAUAAUUCACAGGAUUCCAUAGCAUUCAGCCAUGGUUUUUCAAGUAGUGUCAAACUGCAUUAAUUCAACAGUGUAGGUGUGCCCUUAGUUCAAAGGAACCAUCCAUGUUACUGAAUCCUAUCCUCAAAGUUAGUUCAACAAUGUAGAUGGCUCCUUUGAAUUUCAAAUCACAACUCAGAAAACAAAUCAUAGAAUCAUGAAAUCAUAGAAUUGGAAGAGACCUCAUGGGCCAUCCAGUCCAAUCACCUGCCAAGAAGCAGGAAAAUCACAUUCAAUGCACCCCCGACAUAUCAUAACCCCACUGACAUGACAGAUACCAGCUGCUCUUCUUCCUGUUUCACGUGAAAAAAAUCUAAGGGGCAUUCAAAUUUUACUUUAGCAUUUGCAGGGGGAGCAGUUCUCUGUCACAUCAGAAAGCAGAAAGCGAGUUCUAGUAGAUAGAGGUUGUGUGACACAGUCAAAUUUAUCUAUCAAUAAAGGGAAAGGAUAGGAGCUCAGAAGGAACGAUGAAAUAACUCCCAAUGCUACGUAUCUCAACACACACCAACUGAGGCAGCCGCUUCAUUCUAACCAAUGAUAGGAUUGACCUUGUCUAAACCUAUGUCAGAGAACAUGCUUUUAAAAUUUUAGUUUAAUCCUCUCUUUGAUGAAUAGCAUUUGUGAUGUUGAGGAUCCCCUGGUGGCACAAUGGGUUGAACCCUUGUGCUGGCAGAACUGUUGACCAACAGGUUGGCAGUUCGAAUCCGAGGAGAGUGGGUGAGCUCCUUCUGCCAGCUCCCCAUGUGAGGACAUGAGAGAAGCCUCCCACAAGGAUGGUAAAACAUCAAACAUCCGGGCAUCCCCUGGGCAACAUCCUUGCAGGUGGCCAAUUUUCUUACACCAGUUUCUCAAAUUGCUCCUAACACAAAAAAUGGUGGUGUUGUUGCUGUUUUUGCUGCUGAUGAUGUGUACCUUCAAAUAAUUUCUGAUUUAUCAUAAACCCUUUACUGGAUUUUCUUGGCAAGAUUUGUUCAGAGGAGGGUUUGCAUUUACCCCCCUCUGAGUAUGACUUGCCAAGGUCACCUAGUGGGUUUCCAUAACUGAAAGGAAAUUUGAAUCCAGAUUUUUAGAGUUUUAGAGGAUCGCUGAAGAACGAUUAUAAAAAAUUCUAAGAUGAAACAUGAGAAAUUCAGUGACCUCAGCUAUUUCUGUGUAAGCUUGAACCAUAGUUGCAACCCUGUGCUUUUUGACUGUCAGAGGAGAAACAGCUGAGGCAAAAGUUACCUAUUUACACUAGAGCCAGAUCUCUGUUGAAGGCAUGUUAAUUUUUCAUGAUUUGUUUUCUCAAGAAAUAGACUAACUCUAAAAAGCAAAACAGAAGAAAACAAACUACAGCUGACAUUAGGCCAGAAACAGCAGCAUCCAUUGAAAUACACUUUUUUCUUUCGUUCUUUCAAGGUGAUUGAUGCAAUUUUCUAUUAAAGUUACCUGUGCUAGAAUUGUUUUGACUGUAAUGAUUUUCUGUCCUUUUAACUCAGCAGUCAGAGCAGGAAAACUGGCAUGAGUCUCUUUGAGUUCCUGGAUGUUCAAAUGUGAAGAGGAAGUGAGCUGUAAACCACAGCAGUUCUGACAUUGGGGACCGCCAAUACAGGUUAUGUUUAGCCUGCAGAAGAGAAGGCUGAGAGGAGACAUGAUAGCCAUGUACAAAUACGUGAAGGGAAGUCAUAGGGAGGAGGGAGCAAGCUUGCUUUCUGCUGCCCUGCAGACUAGGACACGGAACAAUGGCUUCAAACUACAGGAAAGGAGAUUCCACCUGAACAUCAGGAAGAACUUCCUCACUGUGAGGGCUGUUCGACAGUGGAACUCUCUCCCCCAGACUGUAGUGGAGGCUCCUUCUUUGGAGGCUUUUAAGCAAAGGCUGGAUGGCCAUCUGUCGGGGGUGCUUUGAAUGCGAUUUCCUGCUUCUUAGCGGGGGGUUGGACUGGAUGGCCCAUGAGGUCUCUUCCAACUCUAUUAUUCUAUGGUUCUAUGAUUCUAUGUGACUGGAGGGCAUAUUUUCAAUUUUUCACAUUUUGGGAUAUUUGUGAAAAUUUCAUGGCUUUUACCACAAAGCACAGUGUUUUCAAUAAAAAUGAAGCAUGUCUGUGUGUAUGUGUGCAUACGAGCAUGUGUGUAAAUGAAAAUAUAAUAAACCAACUGGCAAAA